rnacentral:lncRNA from 1 species
UCAAUCGCCGCCCCGGCAGAGCACUCCAUUGCUUCUCCCCAGCCUUCGCGCCAUUCCCGUUCUCUCUCUCCCACGAUGCUUUCCUUCUCCGUUCCAGCAGCUAUAAAAGGAAUGCACCAGCCGCCGGAGUUCCCUCCGCCUUUGUUGCCUUCAGCCAUUCUCUCACUCCCUGCUCAAACUCCUAGCACCACACCCUAAAGCUCUUGAGGAACUCUCCUCUCAGCUCCCCUCCGU